rnacentral:rRNA from 1 species
UACGUAGGGUGCAAGCGUUGUCCGGAAUUAUUGGGCGUAAAGGGCUCGUAGGCGGUUUGUUGCGUCGGGGGUGAAAACACCGGGCUUAACUCGGUGCUUGCUUUCGAUACGGGCAGACUAGAGGCAUGCAGGGGAGAACGGAAUUCCUGGUGUAGCGGUGAAAUGCGUAGAUAUCUGGAGGAACACCGGUGGCGAAGGCGGCAUCCUGGACCAAUUCUGACGCUGAGGAGCGAAAGCCAGGGGAGCAAACGGG